CCUACGUGAGGCAGCAGUGAGGAAUAUUGGUCAAUGGGCGCGAGCCUGAACCAGCCAAGUAGCGUGAAGGAUGACUGCCCUACGGGUUGUAAACUUCUUUUAUAAAGGAAUAAAGUGAGGCACGUGUGCCUCUUUUUAUGUACUUUAUGAAUAAGGAUCGGCUAACUCCGUGCCAGCAGCCGCGGUAAUACGGAGGAUCCGAGCGUUAUCCGGAUUUAUUGGGUUUAAAGGGCGCGUAGAUGGGUUGUUAAGUCAGUUGUGAAAGUUUGCGGCUCAACCGUAAAAUUGCAAUUGAUACUGGCAGUCUUGAGUACAGUUGAGGUAGGCGGAAUUCGUGGUGUAGCGGUGAAAUGCUUAGAUAUCACGAAGAACUCCGAUUGCGAAGGCAGCUUACUAAACUGCAACUGACAUUGAUGCUCGAAAGUGUGGGUAUCAAACAGGAUUAGAUACCCGGGUAGUC
rnacentral:rRNA from 1 species